GACGGAGGAUGCAAGUGUUAUCCGGAAUCACUGGGCGUAAAGCGUCUGUAGGUGGUCAAAUAAGUCAACUGUUAAAUCUUGAGGCUUAACCUUAAAAUCGCAGUCGAAACUAUUAGACUAGAGUAUAGUAGGGGUAAAGGGAAUUUCCAGUGGAGCGGUGAAAUGCGUAGAGAUUGGAAAGAACACCGAUGGCGAAGGCACUUUACUGGGCUAUUACUAACACUGAGAGACGAAAGCUAGGGUAGCAAAUGGG
rnacentral:rRNA from 1 species